UCACCAACAACCUCUUACCGUUUCCCUAUCUAAAAGCUACUUUUAAUAAGGACCCCUCCCAAUUUGACACCUACCUAAAUUCAUUUUCACCACACUUGUACAUGGAUCCCUUAAAUAAGUUUAUUUUGGCAGAGAAGAGAAAACGAGGAUAAACCUUUCUUGCAGAAGAAAAAGACAAGAUAGUGAAAUUGCUGCCGUCUCAUAGAGACACAAUAUUAAACAAAAAACGGAUGGGACCACGAACGAAGCCAAAAACAAAGCUUGGAUCCAGUUACAAAUAGUUUUAAUGCGAUAGGAACCGUUUACAGUUUCAGGUGGUGCGAGAAAUUGGAAAGACGUGUAAAAACAUGCUGCGCCCAGCCCACCUCAAAUUGAAUUGGUGCAGGAGGAUGAUGAUAAUGUUUGGUACAUCAUAUGAGGACUAAUAUUAAAAUAUUUGUUUAC